rnacentral:rRNA from 1 species
ACCAGACUCCUACGGGAGGCAGCAGUGGGGAAUAUUGCACAAUGGGGGAAACCCUGAUGCAGCGACGCCGCGUGAGUGAAGAAGUAAUUCGUUAUGUAAAGCUCUCUCAGCAGGGAAGAAAAUGACGGUACCUGAGUAAGAAGCCCCGGCUAACUACGUGCCAGCAGCCGCGGUAAUACGUAGGGGGCAAGCGUUAUCCGGAAUUACUGGGUGUAAAGGGAGCGUAGACGGUGAUGCAAGUCUGGAGUGAAAGGCGGGGGCCCAACCCCCGGACUGCUCUGGAAACUGUAUGACUUGAGUGCAGGAGAGGUAAGCGGAAUUCCUAGUGUAGCGGUGAAAUGCGUAGAUAUUAGGAGGAACACCAGUGGCGAAGGCGGCUUACUGGACUGUAACUGACGUUGAGGCUCGAAAGCGUGGGGAGCAAACAGGAUUAGAUACCCGCGUAU